GAGGACGCGAAUUAGGGCAGAAGGCUAGGGUCAGUUUGGGUCGCUAGUGUAGGAAAUUACUUGGUGGGGGUAUUAUUCUUGUUAUGAUACCUUGUUUCAUGCUUUAUUACGAAUCUGUUUACUUUUCUCUGUUUUCUAUUACUUGUGGGUGUCGUAUUUAUGUUAUGCCAUCUUGUUCUAUGAUUUACUAUGAAUUUGUUUAGUAUGCCGUGUCUCGAGCCGAGGGUC
rnacentral:lncRNA from 1 species